ACAGCAGUCGCCGCGGGAAAACGGAGGGUGCAAGCGUUAAUCGGAAUUACUGGGCGUAAAGCGCACGCAGGCGGUCUGACAAGUCAGAUGUGAAAUCCCCGGGCUUAACCUGGGAACUGCAUUUGAAACUGUCAGGCUGGAGUCUUGUAGAGGGGGGUAGAAUUCCAGGUGUAGCGGUGAAAUGCGUAGAGAUCUGGAGGAAUACCGGUGGCGAAGGCGGCCCCCUGGACAAAGACUGACGCUCAGGUGCGAAAGCGUGGGGAGCAAACAGGAUUAGAUACCCGAGUAGUCCCUGUCUCUUAUAC
rnacentral:rRNA from 1 species